rnacentral:rRNA from 1 species
CUUAGAGUGCAGGAGAGGUUAGUGGAAUUCCAGUGUAGCGGGAGAAAUGCGUAGGAUAUAUGGAGGAACCACCAGUGGCGAAGGGCGGCUAACUGGCCUGUAACCUGACGCUGAGGCACGAAAGCGUGGGGAGCAAAUAGGAUUAGAUACCCCUAGUAGUCCACGCCGUAAACGAUGGAUACUAAGUGUUGGGGAAACUCAGUGCUGCAGUUAACGCAAUAAGUAUCCCGGCCUGGGGAGUAUGCUCGCAAGUGUGAAACUCCAAAGGAAUUGACGGGGGCCCGCACAAGCGGUGGAGUAUGUGGUUUAAUUCGAAGCAACGCGAAGAACCUUACCAGGUCUUGACAUACUGGACAAGUCUAUAGAGAUAUAGAGGAGGAUGAAGGAUACAGGUGGUGCAUGGUUGUCGUCAGCUCGUGUCGUGAGAUGUUGGGUUAAGUCCCGCAACGAGCGCAACCCUUGUCUUUAGUUACUAACAUUAAGUUGAGGACUCUAGAGAGACUGCCGGUGAUAAACCGGAGGAAGGUGGGGAUGACGUCAAAUCAUCAUGCCCCUUAUGACCUGGGCUACACACGUACUACAAUGGCGUAUACGACGAGAAGCAAGAGCGAGUGAUGUGGAGCAAAUCUCACAAAGUACGUCUCAGUUCGGAUUGAAUGUCUGCAACCCGGAAUUCAUGAAGCUGGAAUCUUCUACGUAAGUCGGG